GUGGAGGAGGCGUGGGUGGACCGAGGUACCACAAGUUGCCAGGAAUGCCUGACCAGAAACUGCUCUUGGGUGGGUCCCAGAGCUGCCUCCCCUUCACUUGACCCUAGGGCUGCUGGCUUCCUGGCCUUGUGAAAUCUUCUAGAGGCAGGAAGAAGCCUGAGCGCUCCCUGACGCCACUUGAGUUUGACUUCAUGGGUUUGCCGUGUGCCCCUGAACAAACCAGUUAUCCUCUCUAUGCCUUAUUUCGGUAUGCCCAUCUAACACUAAUUACCACCCCUCCCUGACUGCCCCCAAACCUUACCAGAAGAAAUGGCAUGAAGUUACGGAGACACUUUGAACUCAUUGGCAAAUUGUGCACUGUGAGGGGAAAGCACUGUGGCGGCCAUUUUCUUUUCUUCCUUGAGAAAGUCCCUUGCUAAUCAUUAAGACUGGCUGAGUAAGCUUGUUCCUUUACAUUUGAUGCUGGCCUGGGUGCUGGAAUAUGGAAAUGAGGAAGAUCCUGCCUGAGGAUUUCAUGACAGUGCUGCGAUUACCGACGUGAGCCACUGUGCCCAGCCUCACUUUAAAAAAAAAAAAAGGUUAUGAAGCAUCUCAACACAAGACCUCCUUUGCUCAUCACAACCACCCAGUGAAGCAGGCAAGACAACAGAAACUCCCCACCUGUGAUAGAUGUGAGGCCUGAAGUCUCCCACAUACCCACGGCAGAUGCAACGCACAGCGGUGACCAAUGGACAUGGUCCAAGCAGACCCUUUCCUGAGACUUUCUAAAUGGAGCUGUGUGAGAAGAGUUCCUUUCUGUUUUGCCUCUGGAGCUGAAGGUUGAGAACUCAGAGCUGCCCGUGUUCUACCCUGUGAAAAUAAAGGCAAUCAAUUCACAGAGACAAGCAGAAACAAGGCGUCCAGAGCAAGUCCUUCACAUCACCCUGGACACCCUGGCCCUGAUUUCCACUCCCUGCCAGGCUUGUUUGUCCAAUUCUUCUUUUUGUUCCAAGCACCAUCCCAGCAGGCUUAGUUACCUGUAAGCAUUUGGUUAAUCUCUCUUCUCAGCUAGACCGUAGGCUCCCCGAGUGCAGAAACUAUGUUUAUUUUGGUCUCUGCUGGAUCUCCAGCACCUAAAUAAAUGUUUAUGGUUGACUGCAAGGCAGAUCUGUGUGGGGAAUGAAGAAGAGUAUUAAGACCUCCCAGAUGGGCUGCUGGAGGCCUGUCCAAGGUGGAACUUUGCAUGGUGAGAAAUGCAAUUCAGUAGGAAAACAAAGAACUCCUUCAUCCUCCUCUAGAUUCUGCAGGCAAGUGAUCAGCUCAAGGGUGGAAAGAAGGGAAACUCGAGCCAGCCUGAGAAGGACCCUACCUUGUGCUGCUAACCACUGAGACUGCUGUUUGUACAGCAGAAAGGGGAUGGACACAUCACACCUGAGUCAAGCAAACGCCAUUAUCAUCAGAAUCAUGGGCCAUUGUUCCUGGAUCAAGCCCUACCAAAUUAAAGCUAAGAAAA
rnacentral:lncRNA from 1 species